UUAAUAUUUCUCUGAUAGCCACAUUUAUUGAAUGCCCAAAAGCACACCAUUUAAUGGUGCCCCGCAUGAAGGAAAGUACAUGAUCGUACCCCGCGCAAGGGAAAGUACAUAAUCACAACAUUUUUGGUGCUCUGUGUGAGGCAAAGUCAUGAAUAAUAACAUUAUUUUGACUCCUCGUGGAGCACAGCACAACAGUCAACGUUAUUUAAGUGAUCGCUGCUGAUGACGGGCUCUCCAUCUCCUCUUUAGUCGCAUCCAUUUUUUUCGCCUAAAUAUGGAUUUAUCCUCACCCAAAAGGCAGAGCAUAUUCUCCAGUCCCUGCAAAGGCUUUGUUCUCACAUGUGAACUGGUCCACGCACCCCUCCAGCCAGCCACGUCAGAUGAAGAUUCAGAGAGACUGCAUGGAGAGGACACUGUGAUGGGAGAAUCUCCAAGAGUAGUCACACCACUGGGGCUGUGAGGUGGCCACCUUUUGUGUUUUCCUCCUGUGGAUGACUGCUCUUCAGGGUAGGACAAUUUCUCUUCCAGGAGUCUUUGGAGCUAUUAUAUAUGGAUUGUUGGACAGAGCUGGAAUUAGUGAUACUGUGGCUUAAUUGUUCAUUUCUUCUUUGUUCCACAGGCACAGCAGCAGUGCAGCACGGCUAAUCUCCAAUUGGGACAUGAUGUUGCAACUUAUCACCUAACUAAUACUAUUUCCAAUAAUGUGACUAUGCCACGGAAAUAAUUCAGAAAAGAAAGGAGUACGCGGGAAUUAAGAAAGUUUUAAAAGAGAGAGGAAUCCGUUUCUAGACACCUAUGGCCAGAAUGAGGAUACACUGGGACACCGGCCCAUGGCCAUGGCAACAGGUAGGAAACAAAGAGGACACCGCAACACGAGCAAAACAUAAACUACAGAAAUACCGAGGAAUG
rnacentral:misc_RNA from 1 species